GAUGAACGCUGACAGAAUGCUUAACACAUGCAAGUCUACUUGAAUUUGGGUCUUUGACUUAGAUUUGGGUGGCGGACGGGUGAGUAACGCGUAAAGAACUUGCCUCACAGUUAGGGACAACAUUUGGAAACGAAUGCUAAUACCUGAUAUUAUGAUUAUACGGCAUCGUAUAAUUAUGAAAGCUAUAUGCGCUGUGAGAGAGCUUUGCGUCCCAUUAGCUAGUUGGAGAGGUAACGGCUCACCAAGGCGAUGAUGGGUAGCCGGCCUGAGAGGGUGAACGGCCACAAGGGGACUGAGACACGGCCCUUACUCCUACGGGAGGCAGCAGUGGGGAAUAUUGGACAAUGGACCAAAAGUCUGAUCCAGCAAUUCUGUGUGCACGAUGACGUUUUUCGGAAUGUAAAGUGCUUUCAGUUGGGAAGAAAAAAAUGACGGUACCAACAGAAGAAGUGACGGCUAAAUACGUGCCAGCAGCCGCGGUAAUACGUAUGUCACAAGCGUUAUCCGGAUUUAUUGGGGCGUAAAAGCGCGUCUAUGUGGUUUAUGUAUUCUGAUGUGAAAUUGUAGGGCUCAACUUCUGUAUUGCUUUUGGA
rnacentral:rRNA from 1 species